UUGAACGCUGGCGGCAUGCCUUACACAUGCAAGUCGAACGGCAGCGCGGGCUUCGGCCUGGCGGCGAGUGGCGAACGGUGAGUAACAUAUCGGAACGUGCCCUGGAGUGGGGGAUAACUAGUCGAAAGAUUAGCUAAUACCGCAUACGAUCUACGGAUGAAAGUGGGGGACCGCAAGGCCUCAUGCUCGUGGAGCGGCCGAUAUCUGAUUAGCUAGUUGGUGGGGUAAAGGCCCACCAAGGCAUCGAUCAGUAGCUGGUCUGAGAGGACGACCAGCCACACUGGGACUGAGACACGGCCCAGACUCCUACGGGAGGCAGCAGUGGGGAAUUUUGGACAAUGGGCGCAAGCCUGAUCCAGCAAUGCCGCGUGAGUGAAGAAGGCCUUCGGGUUGUAAAGCUCUUUGUCAGGGAAGAAAGGCGGAGGCUAAUAUCCUCUGCUCAUGACGGUACCUGAAGAAUAAGCACCGGCUAACUACGUGCCAGCAGCCGCGGUAAUACGUAGGGCGCGAGCGUUAAUCGGAAUUACUGGGCGUAAAGCGUGCGCAGGCGGUUGUGCAAGACAGAUGUGAAAUCCCCGGGCUCAACCUGGGAAUUGCAUUUGUGACUGCACGGCUAGAGUGUGUCAGAGGGGGUAGAAUUCCACGUGUAGCAGUGAAAUGCGUAGAGAUGUGGAGGAAUACCGAUGGCGAAGGCAGCCCCCUGGGAUAACACUGACGCUCAUGCACGAAAGCGUGGGGAGCAAACAGGAUUAGAUACCCUGGUAGUCCACGCCCUAAACGAUGUCAACUAGUUGUCGGGUCUUAAUUGACUUGGUAACGCAGCUAACGCGUGAAGUUGACCGCCUGGGGAGUACGGUCGCAAGAUUAAAACUCAAAGGAAUUGACGGGGACCCGCACAAGCGGUGGAUGAUGUGGAUUAAUUCGAUGCAACGCGAAAAACCUUACCUACCCUUGACAUGGCAGGAAUCCCGGGAGAUCCGGGAGUGCCCGAAAGGGAACCUGCACACAGGUGCUGCAUGGCUGUCGUCAGCUCGUGUCGUGAGAUGUUGGGUUAAGUCCCGCAACGAGCGCAACCCUUGUCAUUAGUUGCUACGAAAGGGCACUCUAAUGAGACUGCCGGUGACAAACCGGAGGAAGGUGGGAUGACGUCAAGUCCUCAUGGCCCUUAUGGGUAGGGCUUCACACGUCAUACAAUGGUACAUACAGAGGGCCGCCAACCCGCGAGGGGGAGCUAAUCCCAGAAAGUGUAUCGUAGUCCGGAUUGCAGUCUGCAACUCGACUGCAUGAAGUUGGAAUCGCUAGUAAUCGCGGAUCAGCAUGUCGCGGUGAAUACGUUCCCGGGUCUUGUACACACCGCCCGUCACACCAUGGGAGCGGGUUUUACCAGAAGUGGGUAGCUUAACCGCAAGGAGAGCGCUCACCACGGUAGGAUUCGUGACUGGGGUG
rnacentral:rRNA from 1 species